AAAAAACUAGAGUAUUUGGGGAUUUUAAUGUUAUUUCGUUUAUAUGCAGCAUUAAUUUUAAGAUGACGCGUACCGCCAUAAGCGCCGUGUUAAACACGGCGAAAAAAUUUCGACGCGGAAACCGAUUUGAGUAACUCCUGAAUUAACAAAAAAAUAGUAAAUCUACAUAAAAAACAUCGAAAUUUGAAACACACGUUUAUUAACAUAUAAAGUUUGAUUACAUGUACUCAAAACAAUAAAAUAUUUACAAUUAGACCCCCAUUUCCGAUUUUCAAAUUUUCAAUUGCAAAUUUAUAUGUGAUCCCACAGUACGAUUUUGUACGGGUUUUUUACACUUCCUUAAAAAGUAAGUAGAAAUAGUGCAAAAAAAAAAUUCAAAUUACUAAUUGUCCUAGGUAUACCCCCCUUUUUCAGCUAAAAUGGCCAUACUACCAGCAUUAGUCCCAUCCGAGACUUUUCGUCUGUUAACAUCUCACCUUUGUUUUAAUUUAGUGCCUAGCCUACUGUCAGGAACUUGUUUUGGAAUUUAAAAAAGACACCCGUUGCAUAUUUCUUAUUCGAAAGCAUUUUAAGCGGUUCAAAAACAAGCACCAGCAGAUACGUUAGUGAAAUAUAUCGCUACUAACCUGAUGUUACACUUCGAAGAAGAAAGCGUUGAAAAUUGGAGGCAGUCUUAAAUAGCAUUUGAAACAAUUGAAAACUUCAGGAAAAGGACCAUAUUUCUAAAUUAAAAAUAGUGCCAUUUUCCUAAAAUGGUUUCUUUUAUUGCAUCCACAAACUGAGAUGGUAUCCAAUAGAUCCAAUAUCUUGAAGCUUCAGUUGGACCAAGCUGGAUCCCCUGGAUGGUACAAGAGUUUUUAUAAAAUUACUUGAUUAUUCGGCCGUCAAAACGGUGCUUAGAGAAGGAAACAGGAUGGCAACAUAUUGCAAACUGUCUUACAAGUAUGUGGUAUUCUUCAUGACCUUCUAUUGGCUCACUCACAAUGGUUUUGAUUGUAGACAUACUAAUUUUUUCUGUUCUUUCUUUUGUCCCUAAAUAUGAAAUACAGUUAAUUGUGUUUCAAUA